rnacentral:rRNA from 1 species
UACGUAGGUGGCAAGCGUUAUCCGGAAUUAUUGGGCGUAAAGAGCGCGCAGGUGGUUAAUUAAGUCUGAUGUGAAAGCCCACGGCUUAACCGUGGAGGGUCAUUGGAAACUGGUUGACUUGAGUGCAGAAGAGGGAAGUGGAAUUCCAUGUGUAGCGGUGAAAUGCGUAGAGAUAUGGAGGAACACCAGUGGCGAAGGCGGCUUCCUGGUCUGCAACUGACACUGAGGCGCGAAAGCGUGAGGAGCAAACAGG